rnacentral:rRNA from 1 species
GACGAACGCUGGCGGCGUGCUUAACACAUGCAAGUCGAACGGAAAGGCCCUGCUUUUGUGGGGUGCUCGAGUGGCGAACGGGUGAGUAACACGUGAGUAACCUGCCCUUGACUUUGGGAUAACUUCAGGAAACUGGGGCUAAUACCGGAUAGGAGCUCCUGCUGCAUGGUGGGGGUUGGAAAGUUUCGGCGGUUGGGGAUGGACUCGCGGCUUAUCAGCUUGUUGGUGGGGUAGUGGCUUACCAAGGCUUUGACGGGUAGCCGGCCUGAGAGGGUGACCGGCCACAUUGGGACUGAGAUACGGCCCAGACUCCUACGGGAGGCAGCAGUGGGGAAUAUUGCACAAUGGGCGGAAGCCGGAUGCAGCAACGCCGCGUGCGGGAUGACGGCCUUCGGGUUGUAAACCGCUUUCGCCUGUGACGAAGCGUGAGUGACGGUAAUGGGUAAAGAAACACCGGCUAACUACGG